rnacentral:rRNA from 1 species
AGGGCACCACCAGGAGUGGAGCCUGCGGCUUAAUAUGACUCAACACGGGAAAACUCACCCGGCCCGGACACUGGAAGGAUUGACAGAUUGAGAGCUCUUUCUUGAUUCAGUGGGUGGUGGUGCAUGGCCGUUCUUAGUUGGUGGAGUGAUUUGUCUGGUUAAUUCCGAUAACGAACGAGACUCUAGCCUACUAAAUAGAUCGUCGGCUUACAAACGCCGGCGAGACUUCUUAGAGGGACAGGCGGUGAUUCAACCGCACGAAACAGAGCAAUAACAGGUCUGUGAUGCCCUUAGAUGUCCGGGGCCGCACGCGCGCUACACUGAAGUGAUCAGCGUGCUUUUUCAACCUACUCUGUCAAGAGUGGGGAACCCAAUGAACCUUCUUCGUGAUUGGGAUAGGGGAUUGUAAUUAUUCCCCUUGAACGAGGAAUUCCCAGUAAGCGCGAGUCAUAAGCUCGCGUUGAUUACGUCCCUGCCCUUUGUACACACCGCCCGUCGCUACUACCGAUUGAAUGUUUU